rnacentral:rRNA from 1 species
UACGGAGGGUGCAAGCGUUAUCCGGAUUCACUGGGUUUAAAGGGUGCGUAGGUGGGAAUGUAAGUCAGUGGUGAAAUCUCCGUGCUUAACAUGGAAACUGCCAUUGAUACUAUGUUUCUUGAAUCUUCCGGAGGUCAGCGGAAUAUGUCAUGUAGCGGUGAAAUGCAUAGAUAUGUCUCAGAACACCGAUUGCGAAGGCAGCUUACUAUGGUUUAAUUGACGCUGAGGCACGAAAGCGUGGGGAUCAAACAGG